CACUUUUUUUUUUUUUUUAAAGUACGUUUUCUGCCCCAAGUGGUGCCCAAACUCCUGACCCUAAGACCAAGAGCUGUGUGCUCUUGCCAAAAGAGCCAGCCAGACACUCCAUUUCCCAUUCCUUUUUGCUAGUAGAACUACCCUUUAAUGCCCAUCUUAAGGCCCAACCUCCUAUUAACAGUAUCUGUACCACUAAAAAAAUGCUGUAUACUCUAAAAAAUCUCUAUUACGAGGAAUGUUAAACUAGAUAACUAAAGGUCAACUUUUUGAUUUGGUUCUACCUCUUGUAAUAGAAUUCUUUAUAAAAAUAUUAAUUUUAUUAGAUAAUACUGAGCAUAUUAAAAAUAAAUUUUCCUUGAUAAGUUUGGGUCAUCUUCCUGGUCAAUAAUUCUAUUAUACUUACUAGAUGUCUGAAUUAUGACUAUUAAAAUAUAACUUAAUGAGAGUUUAUUUUUUAAAGGUUCAAGUUAUAUUUGUGCCAUAUUUGUUUAUGACAAAAGCAAAUUGUGGAAGCAACUCCGUAACUUGCCAGUUUUCCUUCUUAAUCAUAUUCAUUGUCCUUUGAUUUUUUUCCUUUAUAUUCAUUUUGUUUAUUUUCUAGCAUUUAAAAAAUUGAGGUACAAAUGGCAUACAUUGUCAGUUUCAGAUGUACAAGACUUUUAAAAGUGUAUUUUUGACUAAAAAAUUUCUCAGAAGUUUUGAAAAAUACAGAAAAUAGUAAAAGUCUCAAAUGUCCAAAGUUCUUUUACUUCCAUUUUUAUUUUAUACUGAAGUUUAUUUAAUGAAAUGAAAAUCUUCAUAAAUGAAAAAAAACCCAGCAAGUUAGUUCCAUAAACCUCUCCUCUAAGAAGAAAAUGAGGGGCACUAGCAUAGAGUGAAAUGGUUUUUUGAUACCAAGUAAAAACAAAUUAAAAAAAUCCUAUUAAGCAAAAAAGGACAUUGGUGACCUUGGCAAUAAUACUUUUAGUGGAGUGUUUUGGACUAAAGCUAAAGAAAUAGGACUGUGGAGUUUGGAUAGUUGUUAUUUUUUAAGGGAAAUGAAAUCAGCAAGUUUCUAGGAAGGAAAUGUGGGCUUGAAGAUGACUUUCUUAAUGAUGAGAACGAAAAUAGAGGUCUAGGGAUAGAGUUCAGAAAUACUUUGAGAAGAGGGAAGACGUGGGUUCCAAACCCAUGUUAGACUGACAUUAUCUACAAGGAGGGGUACCUCUGUAAUUAAUGAAUGAGAAUGAGAAGAUGUGGGUGUGUUUAGCAAUGAGUUUGGAGCUUUGGUGGAAAGAAAUUUCAGAGUUCAAGUUCCAAAUAUCAGAAAUUCUUCAACUACAGGGGUGCCUGGGUGGAUCAGUUGGUUAGGCAUCUGACUUUUGAUUUUGGCUCAAGUCAUGAUCUCACCGUCAUGAGAUUUUUUUUUUUUUUAAGAUUUUAUUUAUUUAUUCAUGAGAGACACAGAGAGAAAGACAGGCAAGGGCAGAGGCACAGGCAGAGGGAGAAGCAGGCUCCAUGCAGGGAGCCUGACAUGGGACUCCAUCCCGGGACUCCAGGAUCAUGCCCUGGGCUGAAGGCAGUGCUAAACUGCUGAGCCACCCAGGCUGCCCACCGUCAUGAGAUUGAGCCCCUGUCAGGCUCCAUGCUCAUUGAGGUGUCUGCUUGAGGUUCUCUCCUCCUCUUUCUGCUCCUCCUUCAACACAUACACAUUCUUCCUCUCAAAUAAAUAAAUCUUAAAAAAAAAUUAUUGGUGGUAUCUGGGUGUCUCAGUCGGUUAAGCAUCUGUCUUCAACUCAGAUCAUGAUCCCAGGGUCCAGGAAUUGAGCCCCACAUUGUGCUCCCUGCUCAACAGGGAACCUUCUUCUCCCUCUCCUGCUACCCCUGCUUGUGCUCUCUCUGUCAAAUAAAUAAAUAAAAUCUUAAAAAAAAAACAAAAAA
rnacentral:lncRNA from 1 species